rnacentral:lncRNA from 1 species
UCCAACAGAACUCGGCAGCAUUCACCAAAGGUUCUCAAACUGUGCAGCAAUUGGAACUUUAGUUGCACUUUCUAACAACAAUCAGAACCAAACAAACAUAAUCACCUUAAAGCAUUUCGGCGGUUCUUACGGAUAUUAGCUGCAUAGUAAAAAUUCUUACAGGAAAUGCACAGACCCGAUCACAUACACGAACAUUUAAGAUGGUCUUCCUCCAUCUCUUUGCGGUGUAUCUGCGAACUUCCAAGAGCAGGGGAUGAAAAUUUCAGGUACAUUAUUCCCCGCCGCCGCAUCCACUGGUACCAUAUCCGAAAUCUCCUUUACAUCUUCUUUUGUGAGCCUCACUUUAAAGGAUUCAAUAUUAUCAUCAAGAUUUUUCACCUUAGUUGCCCCUACAAGAAAACAAAAUGGAAAGUCAGCAACUGGAAAAAAAAAUCUAGCAAUGUUUCCACUUUAUUGCAUUAGUUAAACUCAUCAAAUACCCUAAACCCUAGAGGCUAGAUCAGGAAGGUAAGGGGCACGCACCGGGGAUAGGUACCACAUCAUCGCCUUGACCACGAAUCCAGGCAAGGGAAAGUUGCGCAGUGCUGCAUCUAUGCUUUUCAGCCAACUUUUGUAUUCUACUAUAUGUAAUCUUGCUCUUCUCAAGGUUGUCUGCUUGGAAACGAGGAUGCCCGUACUGAGAGCAUGAUUGAUUCGUCAAAUCAUAUAAUAUAAUUAGAAUGAAAGAGCUUCAGGCUCACCUUCAAGGAGUCAAUGUUUGAAUCCAGGUUCUUAAUAUUUGUUGUCCCUGCAGUCGAAAUUCAAAAACAAAUAAACAAUGUGUCGAUGACGAGUUCUAAAUCAGAAUGUCAUAUACUUGGAGCUCAAGUAAGAUGAACCGAAAGCCACUUUUCUAUUCUAUCUAAGACAACCAUUAUAAGAACAAGCACAAACUCAUUGGCACGGAAACAACAAGCUGCAGAUGCAACGUACCAGGUUUCAAAUCAAAUGAACUUGAUGAGAACAAAAAUGUAAUGAGGACUCACCCGGGAUAGGUACGACAUCAUUUCCUUGGUGGAGAACCCAUGCUAGUGGUAGUUGAGCAGGAGAGCAUGAAGACAUGCUUUAAGUAACUUGAUAAAUUCAGCAGUGCAACACACAUACCUUCCCAAGAAGAACUUCGUUCGUAUGAGGUCCGUAUACAUCAGCUGUGUUAAAGAAAGUGAUUCCUUUGCUGAAGGCAUGCUUCAUUGUUGUGAUACCAUCCACAUUGGCAACAGGAGAGUUAUAAAUCCCACUCAGCCCCAUGCAUCCAAACCCCAGUUUUGAAACCUGAUUAAAACAAAGAAGUUAGAAAUUUUGCAACAAAUCAGGAAAAAAUCGAUAGAAAUCUUUUUUUAUUUUUUUUAAAUGAGUACACUUCCAACCACAGAAGUCAACCUCUGCAACAAAGGUUGACCUCAAAACUCAAAGGUCUCAUUUGAUAGAGAGGAUUAGCUUGAAUACGACAAUUAUUUAUGAAGAAAAGUUGUCCCUUUUCAUCCUACCAUUUUUGUGAGGACUAAGAGGAAUAUCUUUUCUUCAUGAGUGGUAACAUUGAGAAAAUAUGGAAGUUCUCAUCCAUUUCUUCCUUCAAAAUGCCUUCAGUGUAGUGAAUAGCCAUAUCCAAGUUAAUCCUCCUUAUCAAAUGAGGCCUAAUGGAAACGGAGCCUAGAAAGCAUUGAAAGAGGCAAAACACUUAGGCCUCAUUUGGUGUCAAGGAUUGAAUCGGAUUGGAUAACUCAAUAGUUGAAUGGAUGUUGAUAGAAAAUAAAUGCCAAAGUUCCAAAUUUUGUUUAAGCUCAAGCUCAAGAGAUGGAUCACAAGAGAAACUUAUUCCUUCCAAUAGGAUUGGGAGGGAUAAAUUUCUUCAUAACUAAUUCAUCUUCCAUUCUUACUUCAACAUACACUAAAUCGAAUGAGUUAUCUGAUCCACACCAGUCUUUGACACCAAAACGAGCCCUUACAUCUCUUUCUUUAACCAAAAAAAAAAGAAACUAGAGAUUAGUAGACUUUGGGCAAAUUGUGCUAAGCAAUGUACUACACAACCAAGCAUAUAUAUAUAUAUAUAUAUAUAUUCACUUCAAAACUUAAUCCGAGUAACAAAAGACAUAAAUUGAAACAACUUCAGAAUCCAAAAAUGGAUUAAUUAAUUAAUUUAUACCUAAAAUCCACAGUUUCCAAGUUGAACUCUUAGAAUCUGUAUGUUGGGGCUUAAAAAGACUUCACUACUUUGGAGAUGUUUAUCUCACAAAGAAGAAUGUACUGCAGUGGAAUUGAUAGGCAAGAGAAAGAAAGAACACUCAAUUUAUUCACUCACAAACUUAGUACAAGAGGAAACACUCAAACACUCUUACACUUCUUCACUCUUUGCUCACUUCUUGCUCUCUUACUUAGCAACACACACACAUACCUAUAUUUAUAGGGCAUAUUUGCCGACUUAUUCAUUCACUAGAAUUUUCUAGUGCAUUGAUCAUGCACACUUUUCCAAUUUCAGCCAAUAUGUUUCUAGAUUCUACCACAAACAAAAACAUUUUAUAUUUUCUUAAGCAUAAGGUGGUGGACUUGACUAUACCACCAAUUGCUGCACUUUGCUAGAGUUUUCUAGCAUAUCACUUCACCGACAACCUUUUGCUAGCAUUUUCUAGCACAUUUCAUGAGUUUUCUAUGGGCUGGAUCAUCUUCUUAGGCUAAGAACAAGAUUACAUUUCAACAUCCCCCCUUAAUCUUGUCUUGUGACGCCGAUUGAGUUCCUCAGUCUGAUAAAGUCUUCUUGUUUGAGUGGCUUGGUGAAUAUGUCAGCGAUUUGGUCUUGAGACUUCACGUAUUCCACUUGCACAUCCUUUCUUGCAAUGCACUCUCUUAUGUAGUGAUAACGGGUAUCUAUGUGCUUGCUCCUGUCAUGAAAUACUGGAUCUAAAGCUAUUGCAGAUUUGUUGUCGACAUAGAUCUCUGUUGGCUCUUCUUGUGGCAUGCUUAAUUCUUUUAGUAAGUUUCUCAGCCAAAUUGCAUGACAGACACAUGAGGUAGCAGCUACGUAUUCAGCUUCGCAGGUAGAGAGGGUGACAAUCGGUUGCUUCUUCGACAUCCAUGUGAAUGCAGUGUCUCCCAUGAAGAACACAAAUCCAGUAGUGCUUUUUCUAUCGUCGGAAUCUCCUGCCCAAUCACUGUCGCUAUAUCCAGCAAGUUUGUAGUUAUCAAAACUUGAACAGAACAAGCCAAAGUUAAUAGUACCUUUAAGGUAUCGAAGAAUUCUUUUGGCGGUCUUCAAUUGUGUAGUUAUGAGAUUCUCCAUGUAGCGACUGAUUAAUCCGACGGCGUAGAGAAUGUUUGGUCUUGUGCAUGUCAAGUAGCGCAAGCUUCCAACUAAACUCUUGAAAAAUGUUGGAUAUACACUUUCUCAUUUGUCAUGCUUGGUUAGUUUGACUCCACACUCCACUGGCAUGCUUAUGGGCUUGCAGUCGUCCAUUUUGAACUUUUUGAGUAUCUCUUUUGUGUAGCUUUCUUGGGAGAUGAAAAUGCCUUCUUUGUUCUGCUUGACUUCAAUGCCUAGGUAGGAUGCCAUCAGCCCGAUGUCGGUCAUCUCAAAUUCUUUGGUCAUCACUCUCUUGAACUCUUCAUACAUACUUGGAUUACUUCCGGUGAAGAUUAAAUCAUCCACAUAUAAGCACACAAUCAGAAUAUCUUCAUCUUUGACUUUGACGUAGAGAGCAUGUUCAUGAGGGCACUUGAUGAAGUUGUUCUCCUGAAAGUACUUGUCGAUGCGACUAUUCCACGCUCGUGGUGCUUGUUUUAACCCAUAGAGGGCUUUCUUCAACUUCAGAAUUUUGUCUUCAUGCCCUUUGAUUUCAUAGCCUGAUGGUUGCUGAAUGUAGACUUCUUCUUCAAGGACUCCAUUUAGGAAAGUGGACUUCACAUCCAUUUGUUGAAUCUUCCAUUUGUUUUGAGCUGCCAAAGAAAUUAGUAAUCGUAUAGUUUCCAACCGAGCAAUAGGUGCAAAUACCUCAUCAUAGUCGAUUCCGGCUCUUUAACUAUAGCCCUUCGCCACUAGUCUCGUCUUGUAUCUUUCAACCUCUCCGUUGACAUUCUUCUUUGUCUUAUACACCCACUUGACUCCGAUGGCUUUGUGUCCUUUCAGAAGAAUAGCGAGUUCCCAUGUAUCGUUCUUCUGGAUUGCUUCAAUUUCUUCAUCCAUUGCUUUCAUCCAUUUAGUAUCUUGCACUGCUUCUUGGAAGUCAACUGGUUUACAAUCAGCAAAGAGACAGAAAAGUGUAGGAUUAUCGAGUAUUUCAGCUACCUCAUAAAGAUCUCGUAGACUUCUUGUACAUGGUACUUCUCUUUCAUUUAGACUCCCACUUGAUGAUGCUGAUGCUGGUGAAUUACCAUGAUUGGUUGAUGUUGGUGAAGCAGGUGGAGUAGUUGACUUUUGUUGAACCUCUCUUGCUUGCUCCAUCGUCCCUUGUUCAUUCUCUUCUUCAAACUGAGGAAAGAAGUGAAGAUCACCUGCAUGAGAGCAAAAAUCCCAUUCUCUUUCCUUAUCGAACGUCACGUCUCGACUGAUCACCAUCUUCCCAUUGUUUAGAUUAUACAGCUUAUAGCCUUUUGAAUUUGAGUCAUAGCCGAUAAAGAUGAACUUCUCACUUUUGUCGUCGAGUUUGGUUCUCUUCUCGUCUGGUACAUGUACAUGGGCUAUGCUUCCAAAAAUUCUUAGAUGAGAGAUACCUGGUUUUCUUCCACUCCAUGCUUCUUGCGGAGUCUUUCCCCACACACUUCUUGUUGGAGACCGAUUAGAUAGGUAGACAGCACAUGUUAUCGCUUCUGCCCACAACUCCUUAGGCAAUCUCUUGCUUUUGAACAUGCUUCGAGCCAUGUCGAGGAUGGUUUGAUUUUUUCUUUAUGCCACACCAUUUUGUUGAAGGGAUCUUGGAACUGUCAAAGGUCGACGAAUUCCAUUGACUUCACAGAAUUCUUGAAAUUCCUUUGAAGUGAAUUCUCCUCCCCGAUCAGAUCUCAUGGCUUUGAUCUUGCAACCACUUUCUUUCUCUACAGCAGCUUUGAACUUCUUGAAUGCUCCAAAUACCUUUGAUUUCUGCUUUAAGAAAUACACCUAGGUUUUCCUUGAAAAAUCAUCAAUGAAGAGAAGGAAAUAAUUAUUUUUACCUAAAGAGCUUGGUUUUAUUGGACCGCACACAUCGGUGUGAAUGAGCUCGAGUGGCUUCUAGGCUCUUGUGGCCGACUCCUUUGGAAAACUUUUCCUGAACUGUUUCCCAAGUAAACAUCCUUCGUAAACUUGAUCAGGGUGACUGAUGCACGGUAAGCCUUUCACCAUCUCCUUCUUGGAUAAUAACUCCAGUCCCCCAAAGUUAAGAUGCCCAAAACGAAGAUGCCAAAGCCAGGAUGCGUCUUUUUAACAUAUCUUGAGACACUUUGCAACAUCAUUUUGAAUAUUCAUAGGAAACGUCCUAUUCUUUGACAUUUUCACCUUGGCAAUUAAUCUUCCCUUGUCAUCUCUAAGAAAAAGGCUAUAAUUUUUCAUGUGAAUAUCAUAACCUUUUUCUAAGAGUUGACCCAAGCUCAAAAUGUUGCUUUUCAUAUUGGGCACGUAGUAGACACUUGAAAUUAAUUGGUGACCGCCAUUUUUCAGGGGAAUUAGGAUGUUACCUUUUCCUUUGACGGGUAUUUUGGAUUCGUCUCCAAAAGAAACGUUGCCACUCACCGAUUCAUCGAGCUCUACGAACAUGCUUCUUCUUCCACACAUGUGGUUACUGGCGCCUGUGUUAAGAUACCAUGUAUAGUCUUGGUCUCCAUCAUUGUUCUGGUAUGCCAGUAGCACAACGCCAUUAUCUUUUUUCUCUUCUUUCACAUAAUUGACCUUCUCAUCAAGCCUAUUGCUUGGAGCUCUACAUUCCCAAGCAUAAUGCCCAAACUUUUGACAGUUGUAGCAUUGAACUUGAGAUUUUUCAUACCUCAAGUUUGAGCGCCCUCUUCCACGACCAUUUGUUGAGCUUCUUCCUCUUUUGUAGUUGCUAUGAUUGUUGAAGUUCCAACCACGUCCACGUCCAUGUCCACGUCCGUGACCUCAACCGCGACUUCUUUCGUACUGGCUUCUCUCGUUGUCCAAGCUUUCUUCUUUCUUCUUUGGCUGGACAUGCGUCUUGAAGAGCUGCUCAUCAUUCCUUUGCCUCUUCUUAUGUUUCUCUUCAUAUGCUUGUAGCGAACCCAUUAAUUGCUCUAUACUAAUUUCUUCCAAGUUUUUUGUUUCUUCAAUCGUCACGACAAUGUGCUUGAACUUAGGGUCCAACGAGCAUAGUAUCUUCUCCAUAAUGCUAACAUCUUCUAACUUUUCUCCAUUUCUUUUUAAUUGAUUGGAAAUGGCUAAGACUCUUGAAAAAUAAUCAGAGAUUGAUUCAAACCCUUUCAUUUGUAGAGAUUUGAACUCACCUCUUAGUACUUGAAGACGAACCUUUUUCACUUGUUCGGCUCCUUUGUAAGAGGUUUAAAGCUUCUCCCAUGCUUGCUUGGCAGAGGUUGCACUCGAGACUUUCUCAAAGCCAUUGUCAUCUAAUGCUUGGUAGAUGAGGUAGAUAGCCUUCUUGUCUCUCUUUCUUGAAUCUUUCAAACUCUCCUUCUGGGGUUGGGACAAAGUAGCUUCAUCUUCUGGCUCAGUGUAGCCUUUCUCCACGACUUCCCAUACAUCGUGUGCUCCCAAAAGGGCCUUCAUUUUGAUACUCCAAUUAUCGAAGUUGUUGUUGUCGAGCACUGGAACUUGGAAGGCUGCCAUAGUGUUGCUAGCCAUAGCUCUGGUACCACUUUGUUGGGGCUUAAAAAGACUUCACUACUUUGAAGAUGUUUAUCUCACAAAGAAGAAUGUAAUGCAGCGGAAUUGAUAGGCAAGAGAAAGAAAGAACACUCAAUUUAUUCACUCACAAACUUAGUACAAGAGGAAACACUCAAACACUCUUACACUUCUUCACUCUUUUCUCACUUCUUGCUCUCUUACUUAGCAACACACACAUACCUAUAUUUAUAGGGCAUGUUUGCCAACUUAUUCAUUCACUAGAAUUUUCUAGUGCAUUGAUCAUGCACACUUUUCCAAUUUCAGCCAAUAUGUUUCUAGAUUCUACCACAAACAAAAACAUUUUAUAUUUUCUUAAGCAUAAGGCGGUGGACUUGACUAUACCACCAAUUGCUGCACUUUACUAGAGUUUUCUAGCAUAUCACUUCACCGACAACCUUUUGCUAGCAUUUUCUAGCACAUUUCAUGAGUUUUCUAUGGGUUGGAUCAUCUUCUUGGGCUAAGAACAAGAUUACAUUUCAACACUGUAUUCCCAUCUCCUCAGCCAUACUAUUCCCCUCCUCUGAAUUUCUUCAAAAAAUGCCAAAUGAGAGAAUACAUACAUACAAUCAAAGUCUGUGGCUGAACAUUAUUAGCCUAAAUAACAAUCGAAGUCUAUGGCUGCCAACACUGGCCAAGUGAAUUUUCGUAUAAGUCCAGGAUAUAUAAUAUAUAUUGUUGGCACGCCCUCCUACCUCAUUGGAUCACGAACUUUAGACUGUUUGCAGCAGAGAAGUCAAACUUUUUUUUUUUCUUAGAGUGAUCUCCAUAUGUGGUAGUUUUUCUUUCUAAUUAUAGAAAGUUUAGAAUGUUAAAUGAGAUUUUUGAAGUGCUAAUGAUAAAACAUAUACAUACUAUUUCAAAAAGAUAGAUUGAAAAUUUGGGUGUUCAAGGAUAUUGUUGGCUGCCCAAUUUGACUAGAAACUGUGGACCUCACUGUCUCCCAAAACAAACAUAAAAAGGGGGGAAUGAAAAAAGAGGAAAUGCACCAAGCCGGGAAUCGAACCCGGGUCCGUACCGUGGGAGGGUACUAUUCUACCACUAGACAAUUUGUGCCCACAUGUCAUUUUCAGCUCCCACAACAUUAUUGUCACGAAACAAAGUGGGCACAUUCGCGAUUAUAAUCCGUCGGAUAUGACAAACGACUCCAGGGCAAAUUAAUAAUAGAGGUGUGAUCCACAGGAUUUGAAUCCUCUUAUGAGCUCAGCUUCCUGAGCAAAUUAAACGGAUCGUUGGAUUUUAAUCCAACGGCUUCAAAUAGAGGAUUCCUUUAAAAGUUAUAAUAAGCCGUUGGAUCAAAAUCCAACGGCCCCGUUUGUUUUGCUCAGUAGGCUCAGGAUGUUGAGCUCAGGAGAUGAUCAAAAUCCAUGAUCCACAUGCCUUUUUUUACUCUUUAUACAUUUUUUUUUAAAUUUUCGACAGUCAUAUCGGAUGAAUUGAAGAAGAAAAUAUGACAAAAAUUAAUAAAGAAUGUAUGAGAAAUAAAGAAUGGAGUGUGGACAGCACAUCCCUUAAGAAUAUUGCAAAAUGCAUAAUGUCUUUUCUACCCUACUAUGAGAUGUAAAAGCAAAAGGCAUUUUCGACUAUCCAUUAAAACCAUGGGUUAGAGUAACCCAAUUACUUAUAAUCACAUGGACAAUACAAAUCGAAUGACGUAGAGUAGCUCAAUUAUAAGCACAUGGACAAUACCAGUUGGGUAAAGUGUAGCAUAUGUGGCCGUUGUGAUUCAUACAAUGGAGAAUCUUACCAUGAAGAAAGUUGAGGUUCCACCAUAAAACCAAUUGAUAAUAUGGAAAGUAGUCCAAUUACUUAUAAGCACAUGCGAUGUCCAUCAUUUCUUCGAUGUGAGAUAGAUACUAUCAACACAUUAAAUAUUUUAGGGUAAUUUUACGCACAUUCUUAGAGUGUUCUUUUUUUUUCUUUUGAUUUUGGAUUAUGGAUUAAACUCAACAAUUGUGAUUGUAUUUGUAAAUUUAUGGCAUGUAAACAUGCACGUUUCCGAUUUCAAGCCUCCAAGUAGAGUUACGAGGCCAUGGAUAGAGCAUUAACACGGAGAUGGAAUCUCUAGCUUAUGGCUCAUUUGAAAGUAUUUUAAAAAUGAUUGAAAUCACAUUUAGAGAAAAAGAUUUUUAUAUUUCAAAACCACUUGAAGAACUUCUUGCAAGAAACAUUAGUUAUGUGCUUCUUGUAGGAAGCACUAGUUAUGUGCUUCUUGUAGGAAGCACUAGUUAUGUGUUUCUUGUAGGAAGCACUUUAAGUAUUUCUUGUAGAAAACACUUCAAUGUAUUUUUUAAAAAUUCACUUGCAUUUUUACUAAAGAGUAAAGAUUUGCUCCAAAAUUAUUGUCACCAAAAUUCAAACAUUGUUAUAAAUAGGCAAAAGUUAGAGAAAUAACCUUUGCUAAGAGCGAGAGCAAAGUGGAUGUAACAUAUCACAAUGUUUUGUUUAUUAACUACAACAGAAUGAUUGCAGGUAAAAGAAAAAUAGGAGAACGCAAAAAAUAUUCUAACUUAUCAUUCUUCUCUUAUUGCUUUUUGCAUCCAUGUGUUUUGAACACUCGUGGUGCUAUAUUUAUAGAGCAACUACCUUGAAAACUUACAAAAACUUCACUAUUUAGCAUAUGAAUCUUUACUGUAUACAUGUGGGCAAACAUACCCACUGUUUACAACAAACGUGCCUUUAUUAUAUCAAUAAAAAACCCUAGGCAUAUCAACAGAAAUGAGCAGUAUUGGCCAACUAGUUAGUACUAUAGGCACUUCAGAUACAAGUUGGUAUUUUGCUAUGCUUUUGCUGGUGUAUUUGCAAACUUCCAUGAGCAGCUAUUGGGACCUUCACUAUAUCUUUCCCCUGCCGCACCGUUGACGGGUAUCGCAUCAGAAACCUCCUUCACAUCUUCUUCAGUGAGUUUCACUCUCAACGAUCCGAUAUUAUCAUCGAGAUUUUUUAUCUUUGUCGUCCCUAAAAGAACACAAUGAGAUGUAAGUAUGCUUCGUUUUCAAGUUUAUUACAAUGGUUCGUCCAGUUAGCAAGUUAAUACGAACUUACCAGGGAUUGGUACCACGUCAUCACCUUGGCUAAGAAUCCAAGCUAGGGCAAAUUGUGCAGUGGUGCAUCCGUGCUUCUCGGACAACUUUCGUACGUUGCCAAAGAUGACCUUGUUCUUCUCCAAGUUGUCCCCUGUGAAUCGAGGACAGAAACCUGAUACCUGAUAACAAAAUGAAUAGCCAUCAAAUAACCGUUCUUGUUCACAUAAUUUAGCAUAUCGCAACCCCCGAACUCCCUUACCAGAAAAUUAUUUGCAGGUAGACUUUCGACAACACCCUUGCCACCGAAAAAUCCGCGACCCAGUGGGCUGUAUGGCACUAUUCCGAUUCCAAGCUCCCUGUGGUUCCAACAAAAGCGACAAUAUUUUCUCACAUUGAUCAAUUGACUAUGAUGCGGGAACAAUCGACCAGCCACAAAGUAGUUACCUGCAAAGCGGGACAAUUUCUUCCUCGAUAUCUCGAGUCCAAAGGGACCACUCCAUUUGUAUAGCAGUUAUGGGAUGAACCGCAUGAGCCCUUCUUAUUGUGUCCGGGCUAGCUUCCGAUAAUCCGAUGUACUUAAUUUUUCCCUCAUUCACCAGCUUCUUUAGCUCCUCCAUCUGUCCUUACAAAAAUAGUAACUGAGUAACAGAAAAAUGGAAAAAGGCUUCACAAUGCACUUCAAAAGUAGGGGGAAAUAUCUAACACUUACAGUGUCCUCUAUGGGGACUGUUGUAUCGAUCCGGUGCUGAUAGUAAAGAUCAAUGUAGUCCACGCCAAGGCGCUUCAGGCUAGCCUCGCAGCAGGAGCGGACAUAUUCAGGACUGCCGUUUACUAGCAUCUGAUUAGGUUCAAUUUUUACGAUACCAAACUUCGUAGCCAACUGAACUUUGUCUCGUGGAAAUUGCCUCAAUGCCUGAAGUUAAACCGAUCGAAGACGGCAUAAAUGACCAACAUUAAAUGCAUACCGACAGCCCUAGACACUCUUAGACUCUUUUCAGAACCUGCUCCAAUUUCGAGUCAAAGAGAUCCUAAGCCUAUGAGGCAUGGAUAUGGAUACGGAUACGAAUACGGCGAUAUUAUACGACACUCCUGAGUAUUUUAUAUCAGAAAGACGGGUAUCCUACAUUUGAUGUAUCGAUAUGCACAAGGAAAAUCACAACUUUGAAUUAUGGAAAGACUAAUUCAGAGCACAUUACCUUUCCAACCAAAACUUCAUUAAUAUGAGGUACCAAAACUUCAUUAAUAUGAGGUCCAUAAACAUCUGAUGUAUCAAAGAAUGUAAUUCCCUUAUCGAAUGCGUGCUUGAUGAUCGAUAUGCCAAGCUCUUCGGGGACUGGAUCGUUGUAGAUUCCAGUGAGCCCCAGACACCCAAAUCCCAACUUGGAAACCUGCACCACAAAUGAAUUCACAAUUUGCAUAAAAUCAAUGUGAAAUAAUUCUAAUUUUUAUUUGGAGGGAAGCAAAAAACAUAACCGAGUUGCAGAAAUGUAAAGCUAGAGUAAAGAAUCUGAAAUGGUUUCACCUCAAAUCCCUGAGUUCCGAGUUGCACUCUUGGAAUUUGAACUUUCUGCUCCUCCGCCAUUCUUCUUCUUCGAUCUUCUUCGAUCUUGUUGCACUCUUGGAACUCUUUUUUGUCUCCUGUUUGGUGAAGUGAGAGCGAAUUUAAAGGCGUUUUACGCACUAAACUUCAUGUCGUCAUUGAUUACAUCAGCAUAUCUUUUAGAUCACUGCGUGUGUCAUUGGUCAUUAAGGAACUAAAUCCAAUACUAAACUCGUGAGAACCAAUAUUAUUUGGAAGUUUGUUAGUGUCCAAAAGCCCACUUCCAACAACACUUUGUUAAUUACCAUCUGCAUUAUCUGUCAAGUAUGAGAUUUUAUCACAAAAUACCCCGGUAUUAGUUUAAAAGGAGUAGGAUAUUUAAGAUGGUCUGUGUUUGAAAUGGUAUCAGGCAUGUUGUUUUUGGUUGAUAAAGAUUCAAACUUGAAUAAUCGUUUGAAGAGAUUUUUGUGUUUGUUUUGGCUCGAGAGAAAACGGAAGAGCAAAAGUCACUUUGUAUAUAUUUUUCUUAAUAUCCCAAAAGACAAAUUACAAAGACUAUAUCUUUUUCACAGCCGGUCUAAAACCAGAACCUACAUCUAGAGGCCUAGUACUCCUCUCCGAUCAUAAAUGGUUAUCAGAGAAUAUCAUCCAUCCACUUGGAAGAAGAUGAGAAUGCUCAGUACAAUUAAAAGAUAAAACACCAGCUGUAAUCUUUCUAAAACUAGGGGAAGAAACUAGCCGUUGAAAUUAAAAAGCUCCUUCUAAUUUUAGUAAGGUCUUCAUUUCUUCACACUUUUCUGCUUCCUUUUGACUUCAUCUGCAGGAUUACCUUCUGCAGGAUAACUCUAAAGCUAGGAGGCAGCUUAAUUCUCAACAGUCUGUUGCGUAAAUAAUCUCUCUUAUUACAUAUAAUUUCCCAUUAAUGUGCCUGCCGUGUACGAGUCCAGUAUCAUUUUAUAAGAAACGGAAAUUUUCAGAACAACAGUUUCCGGGAUAAGUAGUCCCCGGAUCUUUGUUCUGUUCAUGAGCGUUACAAUUUUGGAAUGGAAAUUACUGUUGGAGUAUGUGGCCAAGUGGCCAACUUUUGACUAUAAAAAAUUAUAAAGAAAAAGGUAGACAAAAUAAUUAUGUCUCUUCCUUAUUUUGGGGAAAAGAAAAGGGAUUUUUGUCUAAAGUUUUCUUGGUCCAUGGGAAGUCACGGGGUGACUUGAAUGAAGGCUAUGUUAUGAUGAGGGAGCUGCUGCCCUUUUGUUUUUUUAAGAGAGCAGAAAAAUUGGUGAGCCGAAGAGAAGGAGAGGGAGAGAAAGAAGGUACUGCUGCAGUACCAUUUUGAGAGAAGGAGUUGUUAUUCCUUUCAUUGGAUAGUUCUCACUCCAUCAAAGUGUUAUUGUUGUAAUAGCUUUGAGCUUUGUAUAGAGAAGAAAUUAAUCACUAUAUUUCUUUCUCUAUUUGUUUCUUUAGAGUGUGAGAGUUAUUGGGUGUAUUGGGUUAUUUGGGUUGUGAGAUUGCCAACUUUGUAAACUCCCAUUUGGUUGAUAGUGGAUUAUUGGGUGAGCUCCUACUGCUCCGAGGACGUACUCCAGUUACACUAACUGUUGAGGAACCUCGUUAAAAUCUUGGUGUCUUUAAUAUUUUGUUCUUGCGUUUCAUUUGAUAUAUUUCCUGUGGGUUAACAAAGAGUUGGUUCUAAAGGGUUUGGUGCUAUCUUAGCACAACAAUUACGCUUAGAAAAGAACUUAAUACGAUGUUGAAAUAUCCGUAACUGCUUCAAAGACUUCGACUGUAUUGCAACUUUCUCGCAGAAACUGUGCAGAUUCGAUUGUGCAUACAAACAUUUAAGUUGGUCUGUUUCAUUGUUUUGCUGGUGUGUUUGCAAACUUCCACGAGCAGCGCAUAAGACUAUCUGUUAAUCUCUCCCCUGCUGCCGCGUUGAUGGGUAUCAUAUCCGAAAUCUCUUUCAUAUCGUCUUUAGUGAGUUUCACUCUCAAGGAACCAAUAUUAUCGUCAAUGUUUUUUUUUCUUAGUUGUCCCUGCAAAGACACAAUGAGAGAUCAGUUCGCUUAACCUUUUUUUGUUCAAAAUCGACGCGGUCCAGUUAGUAAGCUAAUACCCACAUACCAGGAAUUGGUACCAUGCCAUCGCCUUGAUUAAGAAUCCACAAGAGCGCAAGCCGUGCCGAUGUGCAUCCAUGAUUUUCGGCCAAGUUUAGACAGAAAACAUAAUACGCUAAACUUUUCUGUCUCCCUCAAUUCUCACAUCUCUCUCAGUCUAUUUACAUUCCUACUUCAUAAUUCUUGGGCAAUUGAUCACUACUUAGCAAUCAUGUCUGCCGUUGGCGUGCAUAUCGAAUCAGACAUCUUGUGAGACUUUGGGUUGUAUCUUGGAGUUGUAGGCACCGCUAUAACCUGCACAUAGGGAGGCGUUUACGGCUUUAGGGCAGCAACAUCGCGCCUCUCUUUGGUUCACAGGCCAGAUAUUUUUUUUAAUUUAAAUUUCAUAAGUCUGAUAGUGAUUAUACAUUUGAUUUGAUAUAUUUGAUCAUAUAAAUAAUUGAUAUAUUUUUGCAAUAUAUUUCACAAUCUAAAGCCGUAUACGUGUGAUAAUAUAAUUGCAAAUUUUACAAUCUAUUUUUACAGUACCUUGAAAGCCCUAAGAAUUGUAGUUUUUCCUAUGUUGAAAGUGGAAUUGUUAGGAUUCUGUCGUUCAUUGAAUUUUUUUUUAUUCAGGUCCUAUCGUUGUUUUUUGACUAUGUGCAUUUGUUUUAUUCGAGUCAUUGUCAUUGAAUUUUGUGAGAAGGCAAACCUUACCCUUCAUUCAUUGCAUCAUGUCAUUCAAUUGUCUGAGAAGGCAAACUUUGCCUUUAAUUCAUUGCUUUUUUGACUCUUUGCAUUCUCUUUAUUCUUUUUAGUACCAAAACAUUUUAAUAUUGCAUAUCUGUCAGCUAUUGUCUGGGGUUGAUAAUCUUCAUAAACUACAAUUAAUAAUUAAAUAUUACUUGUAUAUUGCAUACUGAUACAUGUAAACUGCAAUUAUCUAAUAUUAUUCGUAAACUGCAAUUAAUUAUUAAAUAUUACUUGUAAACUGCAAUUAUUUAAUAUUGUUUAUCUGUCAAGUGAUUUGACUACAAUUGCAUCAGUGCGUGAUUAUUACAAUUUGUGUGUGAUUAUUCAGUACCAAGCACUUGCAUCUUUUAUGCUUUAAUUAAAUUAAAUAUGUGCUUGAUUAUUACAAUUUGACUACAAUUGCAUACUCAUAUAUGUUAAUUGUUUUAUGCUUUAAUUAAAUAUGUGCAUGACUAUCAUUAUUAAUUGAUCUGUGGUUAUUAUAUAGCAGUAUAGUUUAUCCUAUACUUGUUAAAAAUUUUGAGUGACAAUUUGUUUUAAUCUCUACAAUAUUAUAGCAAUCUUAUAUCUCUCUCACUUGUUAUUAGUCAGAAUUACAUAACAAAUGGCAAGCCUAGAAGAAGCAAAUAGUGUUAAGCCUGAAAAAUUUAGUGGGCAUAAUUUCUGUAGGUGGCAAAAACAAGUGAAAUAUUGGUUAACUGUCUUAGGACUUGUAUCCGCACUUGAAGAAACUCAAUCAAACAAAGAUUCCUCUUCUAAAGAGUCAUCUUCUAAACUAACCCCUGAACUCAUAGAAUACCAUUGUCACAAUAGAAUCUUAAGUGCCAUUUCUGAUCAUCUCUAUGAUGUGUAUCAUGCUACUACAUCCACCGCCAAAGAACUUUGAGAAACUUUAGAAGCGAAAUAUGGAAUUGUAGAUGUUGGGAUGGAUAGGUUCACGGUCUCAAACUUUAAUGAUUAUAAGAUGGUUAACAAUAAGUCUGUUGGGGAACAAAUACAUGAGUAUCAAGAGCUAUUAAGAGGUGUUGAAAAGAAAGGAACGAAGUUCAGUGAGGACUUUAAAGUCUCUUGCCUUAUUGAUAAACUGCCUCAAUCUUGGAAUGACUUUGCUAGAACCUUAAGGCAUAAACAAGGAGAAUUUACUUUGGUUCAAGUCAUAAAUUCAAUUAGAAUUGAAGAGAAACAUAGGUCAAGCCAAAAGAAGGAAACCGAAAAACAAACAACUAUGAACUUAGUUGAGAAUGUGUUUGGACCCAAAGUUACACCAUCGGCCCGUGCAAUCAAGGCCGUUGAGUAAGCAUAGCUCUCAAUCGUCAGAUGGAAAAGUGGAGAUAAUUUUGUUAUUGUUAAAAAAUAAUAUUAUGGCUUUUGUCAUAGUAAUUAUUUUUCAAUUUGGAUUAUCUUGGCAUUAUAUCUUGGAACAAGUACAGUUCUAGUGAACUUAGGAUUACUGCUAUCAGAUUGGAGAAACUUGGUAGAUGAGAUUUGAAAAGUCAUGGUGCAUGCACGGAUGGAUUAUGGAAAAGCCUAGAUAGGCUUGGCUUUUGGUGGUGAUGUGAUAAGUCUAAGAUUUAAUAGUCUUGGAUGAUGAUGACAAGCCUAGGUAGGUUAGGUUAUGAUGAUAAAACUUUUAUUUGGAUAGGUUUUUGUGAGGUUUAGAAAAUCGUGAACAUCUAUUUGAAGGAUAUGCCUUGGUUUCUGAUGCGGAUUAAUUUCAGUUCCACGGAAAAGAAUUGCAGUUGAACUCUACAAGCACCAUCAGGUUGUGCCAGAUAGAUAUCCAACGUUAUAAAUACAUGAAGACUGUGCAGCAUUCAAGCCCCUUUCCAAUUCAACACAAAAACUGCCAUGUGUAAACCCUCGCUCUACGCGAAACCUCUCAUCAACCUUGAGACUUUUGUUUUCUUUUUCCGCUGAUAUACCUUCAGUUUGGAUAAACAGCACUGUGAAGGCAACCGGCGAACAUCUUCAGUUUGGAUAAACAGCACUGCGUAGAGGCCGACUGGUUAUCUAUCUAAGUCUCGGUCGAGAAGGAUUUUCGAAUUCUUAUUGGCAAAGGCCAUCUCAUUAGCCUUUUUGGCGAAGUGAGGUGUUACAAGUUAUUACAUUCGGCACAUUGAAAACCGAAUUUGAUAUUGAACUUCGCAGAACUAGCAGCCUUAUCUUCAGGCUCUAGAACCUAAAGGCCGAGAGUGUUCCUUCCUCGGCUGCAGUCUUGAGAUUCAGAAGUCAACAGCGCACCCAACGUAACAUCAACAUAUUUUACUCCUCGGUCGGCCGACGAGUUGGCACGCCCGCAUACAACCGAAUGACGUAGUUAGCUUACUAGUUACUCGGUCUGCGUGCCACGUAGGCUUGGUAGUUUUUAGGGUUAACAGAAUGACACCAACAAAUAUGAAAAAAACAAAACCAAGUUUACCAUGAAUAAUAAGAGGAAUUUCAAACCUAGAAGAACAAAUUUUAAAUUCAAAUCACCCAACCAAAAUAAGAACUUUCACAAGACUAAGGAUCAAGGGAGAGAGAAAGGGGUUUGAUUCGUUUGCGGAAGAACCAAUCAUAAAGCUAAGGAUUACUUCUACAAGAAGACUGAGGAGAACAAGUCUAGGUCAAAUCAUAAUGGUCCAAAAGCCCAAGUGAAUAUGCUGAUAGAGCAACAAUCUUCUCAAACACAUUUUAAGUAUGAUUCCUUUGUCAAUUUUACUUAUGAAAAUAAGGAUUGGUGGGUAGAUUCUAGAGCUAACAUACAUCUCUGUUUUGAUCGUGAAUUUUUUAAAACCUAUCAGAAAUCAGGUGGAGGACGUGUAACUUUAGGAAAUGACUAAAUGUCUCAAGUGCUUGGAAUUGGAGAUGUGGAUGCAAAUUUCUUCCUCCUUCUUAUUGGACAAAAUUGCACCUACAAAACAAUUAACACCUUAGAGUCAAUGCCAAGAGCCUCACACGCCCACGAUGAAUGGGGGGGCUUUGGCUGAAGAAACUCUUAUGCCAAAGUUAGAAUUUAGAGAGAAAAAAUGUUUAGAGAGUUUGUGGAAUUUUGCAAGAGUGUUGGAAUGAUUUUUUGAUGAAUAUGGGAGCCUAUUUAUAGGGAUAGGCCGGUCCCCUUCGGAUAGGGAGUGGCCAGCCAUUAGGUAGGGUUUUUUAGGUUUAAUUUUGGUUUAAUUAGCCAACUUAUUAUGAUUAAUUGGCUAAUUAAUCAUAAGGGGAAUGUUUUGGUGGUUAUGAAAUUAAUUGGCUAGCUAAUUAGUGUAAUAAAAAGGGAGAAAUGAUAAAAAAAAAAUGGUAGAAAGUAUGGUGGACUCCUUUUUGAAUGGGGAUGGCCGGCCUUUGAGUUGUUUUUGGAGUUGAAUGAAUGAUUUAAUUGACAAUUAGGGGAUUGAUUAGGCAAUUAAUCCCUUAAUUAGUCAAUUAUUAUGUUUUUAAAGGAAGAUUUUAGGAAAUAUGAAAGGAAUAUAUUAUUUAGCUAGAUUUAAUUGACAAUUAGGGGAUUGAUUAGGCAAUUAAUCCCUUAAUUAGUCAAUUAUUAUGUUUUUAAAGGAAGAUUUAGGAAAUAUGAAAGGAAUAUAUUAUUUAGCUAAUUGAUUAGCUAAAUAAUGAAAUGGAAUAAAUUAGGUUUUGGGAAUUACCUUAUAGAAAUGAUUUAAUGAAAUAGGCUUUAAAUUGUUACCUAUUUUGGGCACUUUUAACUUGGUUGAAAGAGGGUUGCCCGUAGGAACCUCGUUGUACCGCUAGGGUAUUUUUGUCAUUUUUGUCCAAAAAUCCACGUGUCGCCUUGUGAUUAUUUUUAGCUCCACAAAUGCCCCCACACCUGUUGGGCUGCUUGCAGAAAAGGGUAACAGGUGUAGAGAUUUUCUUGCCUUAGGAAACUUUGAAUUGUUUCCCUUUUUUUGUGAUGAUUCUCUCUUUUAAUGGGAAAUUAGAUCCUUCUAGGAAAAGAAAAUAAAUCCCUCUCAAAGUUUAUGUAAGUCCACCUUAAGUGGAUUAUUAAAUCAAUUUUUUGAGAGAAACUUAUUUCACCCUACAAGCGAGAGAAAGCUUAGAGGAUAUUUAUUCCUCCUCCUCUAGCCAUCUUCUACAUCUUGCCCAUGCAAAGGAUCGUCUUUCGUUGCAUGCUUCGUCUUCUCGUUGUUUCUAGGUAAGAAAAAUUUAAUUUUUCUGUCUUCAUAAUUUUCUUAGAAGUCUUAGGACUUGAAAUUGGCUCUCCAGGGGUCGAGGAGACUUUGAAAUUUUUUUUUAAAAGCCAUGGGUUGUGGAGUGCAGUAGGGUGGCUAGGUUCGGCUCGGGCUAUGGGGGAGAAAAUGAUGUGGGGCGCCUGCCCCCUGUCAGUCAAAUAUGGGCCUCGGGGCAUUUGGGUCGAGAAGAAAGAAAUUGGGGAGCCAGCACAGGCAGGGCUCCCUGCUUUGCCUUUUUUUUUUUUAUUAUUGGGCCCUUGCCCUAGGGAGGAAUGAAGGGCUGAAUGCCCUCUUGGAUUUGGGGGCCUCUGUGUUGUGCCUUCCCCCCCCCCCCUUUUUUUUUUUUUUGCCGAGAGCUGCUUUUUUCCUUUUUUUUUUUUUUUUUUUUUAACAACUCUUUAACAAAUAUUCCUUGUACUUUUGUAGAAUUUUCAAGCAUGUCUUCCUCAAGCCACAAGAAUGAUGAUGGUGUGCCGCCGUUGUACAGUCAAGGCGGGUCUUUAAGCAAGGUUGGCGACUUUAAGGCUGCUCACUUCAAGAUUAGCUUCGACGACUUGUUCAGGGACUUCCUCGAGGCAUACUGGCAUGUCAUUCCGUCGGGAGUACGUGUGAAGCAAGUUAAGGAUGGUAGCAGCCGGGAACCAUGCAGUGGAACUCGGAGAGCCAUCAAGUUCCACCCCUAUUAUUUUGUGUUAGGGUUUACUUUCCCUAUGCAGCGUUUCUUCCAAGAAGUGCUUUGCUCCAUAAGAUGUGCCCCCGCCCAAUGUUCCCCGAACACAGUCCAUGUGAUGGUGGGAUUCCACAAUCUAAGCCAAUUCUUUGACUUAGAUCUAACCGUUAACGAAUUUUGGUAUUUCUUUGACAUAGGUCACAUUGACAAAGUUGGGCAACUGUGGUCUCGCCAUAAGCUUUUUGAUAACUCGAGCAAGAGAGAUCAUGACCAGGCCAAAGAGACUUUGGAGAUAAGUGGAGAAUGGGAGUCUGAUUCUUCCCCCGAGUUGCGUGUACCAACUGUCUUCAUAUCUAGUAAACAGGCUGCUUAAUCUUCUCGGCUACUUUGUUGUAGUGCCAACUUACACUUCAAUUUUCUGAUUGUCUUUCGUUGUUUUUUUUUUUGUAGAUUCGGAAUUCAGCUUAACACCUAAGGUUUUUCCGAACAUAAAGAAAGUACAUGUCGUUCUGGGGUAUCCCUUCCGAAUAUCAUGAGUGGCGUUGUCUGCUUAGUCCUCUUCGUAGGGAAAAAAGUGGGCUACCUCCAAAAGAGGAGAUAAAACGGAUCAAAGCAGAUGCGAUGGCUCGUCCUAUCACUGUGAUGGAGCCUGCUAUCAAUAAAGGUGGGAAAAAGAAACAUUCCUCGCCUACUCAAGAGAUGCUUGCUGAAAAGAAACCGAAGACUGAUCGCGGGGAUUUUUCGGCUGCUCAAGAAAUACCUGUUGAGAAGAAACCGAAGAUUGCUUCUGCUGCUCGCGAGGGUUCAUCAACUGUUCUUAAUAUUGUGAUUGACUUGACUUCCUCUAAGGGCGAGAAAGAAAGAACUGCUAUAUUUAUGCCGGUAACGCCUAUUGCUCCGAAGGCUGCUACUCGAUUGCUGAAAGGAUUACCCAGCGCAGAAGUUCCUUCGUGCCUCCAAUGCCGAAGUUUGUGCCAAAGCGUUCGUCUAGAGCUAAGUCUGGCUCACCUUUGGAGAGGCUUGCUAUUAUGAAGAGUGACAAGGUGCCCCUGCCUACUAAAGUGGUGCCAAAACCUGCUUCAUCCGUUGCUGCAAGCAACUCGUCUGCUGAUAAGAAGGAAACUGCUUGUUCAUGCAGGCUUGAAGAAUCCACCAAGGCUGUUUCUUGGGAAGUUGCUAAGAUUUGCACGCUUUUAAAGCCAAAUCUACUUGAAGACAUGGAUUUAUGUGCCAAGUUUGUUGAUGGGGUCAAUGAGGUUAUUGGUCCGAGUAUUUUCACGAAGCACACAUCCGAGUAUAGGAAGAUUGCUCUGCUAGCCAUGAUGUAGAAAACAACAAUUUUGGCAGCCAAGUCCAUGUUCCUUGACCAAGAGAAAACCAAGGCUGCUAAAGAGAUGGCAAGAACUAUGGCUACCAAAGCUUACUCAUCGGUCGAAAAAAAUCAGGAAAUUAGAAUCUGAGCUUGCUGCUUUUAAGGGAUCUAAUAUUUAUGCCCCCACUUCUCUGCAGCUUGAGGCCACUCACCAAGAGAUUAUGGUUUUGAAGACUAGGCUUGAUGUAAUCCAAGUGAAGUACGAAAAUGCAGAGAAAGAAAUCGAAGGUUACAUACCUCAAAUUCAAGAUCUUGAGCGUUUCAUCUCUGAAUUCCGCUCCGCUGCUUAUGCAAAGGAUGAAGAAUUAAUCGCUGCUUACAACCAAGUGAUCCAUUUCAAAAAGGUCGUUGAUAGGCUUGAGCCACAAGUGUUGGAACUUCAGAGUGCUUUGAAGAACAACGACAAUCUGAAAAAAGAAAUUGAGAAUUACAGCGGGUUCGUGAUUCCCUGCUUGAGGAGAAUAAGCAGUUGAAGGGUGAGAAGGCUGGGUUCGAAGCUUCACUUACUCAAAGUUAAGCCGAUUUCUACAAGCUGGGCUAUGUAGAUCAUCUCUAUAGGCGGCCGUCUGAGUUUGAUUUUUCCGGUAAAGACUUUGAAACCUUCUUUAUUUCUCCAGAAGACUUGCUCACUUUUAUUUUUGAGUCUUCUAUCGGUGAAGUAGUUGGAGAAGUUGGUGCCCAGGCUAGGGCAGCCGAGGGUAAAGAGCCGGAGGAUGCUGCUACUGAGAACAUCAAGGCUGCUGAAGGUGUGACGACCGAGUAGUCGUGAAAUGUCCAAGCUAUUGAAGAAUAGUCUUCUAGGUAGCCUUUAGGAUUUUCUUUGUUUUCCUUUGUUACUUUUGCUUGAACUCCUUCGGUAUUUGCUAAUUGUUUAUCAAUUUUGCUAGAAAAUUUAAUAAACUUGCUUUUUUUGCUUUUCUCCAUCUUCGCUUCUUUUUGUCUAUGCCUUAACCUUUAGACCUUAUAGACCAGUGGCAAGCGUGCUACUUUUCUAUAAGCAGGUAUUGGUGUAGAACUUUUGCAAAGUUAUUUAACUAUAGGGUUGGUAGCCGAAUGCCUUACUUACAGAAGCAGACGAAUCCGCGUAACCACUAGGUUGUUAACCUUGGAUCUUUCCAAUUCCGUAGGUUGUGUAGCAAGUAUCACAACACUUUAGGACUUGGUGUAGGUUAUUCUGUGUUUGGCAGAGGUGAAGCUUAUUGACUACGUAGCAUGUCGGUAGUGGAUAAAAUCUUCGUGUAUGCACGCUAGCUUGUUUAACCUUUCACAAGAAUGUGCGGUUGCAUAAGUCUAGCAUGGUUUUACUGCUCGAAGGGCAAGCCGUAGGUAGUCUUCCAGAAAUUCGUAGGCUACCUUAGUGCACUCGGUAGCAGCUUUAGGUUUCCAGGGCAGCCGCCUGUUGGGUGUACUGCGUAAUGUGCCCCUCCGUCUCUAGGGCCCGGUUCCCUGCGAAUUUAGGCCAAAAGACCCAAAAUCCUUCAAUUAGCUAAGCCUUGAAAAAGACCAUUGUGGCUACUUCUAGGAAUCCCGGUGCAAGCCAUCGUGCAUCUAAUUAUACUAGGGCAGCCAGGCUCAUCCACGUCUGGAUAUUCAGAGUGUUGAGUUUAUCCUCCUGUUUUAGAGAGCAUGGUUGGCCCUUCGGGGGAUGCAAUUCUUACGGUGAGUCCCAGAAAGGGGUGCGAUCUUCUUUUGAACUGCAGGAAAGAUAAGUUGUUGUAGACAUGUAGUCGAGCCAAGUUGCAAAUUACUUCUUAAUUUUUUAUUGAAAAAUGAACAAAAUGAACGAAACUUAGUUGUAAAAGACUGCAUGAUGACUGGAUAUUCCUCGACUUGCGAGAUGGUGCCCGUUGAGCUGCUUGAGUCUUCGGGUCUUUAUAUAGUGGGAAGUCACACAUGGUAUUUCCUCAAAUUGUAGGCGUUCCAUUGCUUCUCGAUCUCUUUGUCAUUCAUGGUGGUAAAGGUGUAGUUACCCUUACUGCCUACUUUUCUGAUCUUGUACGGACCUUCCCAGAUAGGAUCUAUCUUUUUCGAGCCUUCUAUGCGGGCAGUGAUGAAAGCCUUUCUUAGGACUAGAUCUCUGGGUUGGAACUGCCGGAUCUUUGCCCUUUUAUUAUAGCUAGAAAUGAGCUGUUGCUGGUAAACUGCGAUGCGGGUGAUGGUUUGUUCGCGCCUCUCUUCUGCCAGAUCUAAGUUUGUAGCCAUCUCUUCACUGUUCUGCUCAAUGCUUGGCAGUAGAGUGUUGAUGCUUGGCACAAUGAUGUUGGGAGGAAUGAUUGCUUUCGAACCAAAUGCCAAAAAGAAAUGAGUCUCACCAGUCGCUCGUCUUUUGGUGGUGCGAUAUGCCCAUAAACAUCUGGGGAGUUCAUCUGGCCAUUUUCCCUUUUUGUCGAUGAGGGAUUUCUUAAGGCAAUCGAGGAUUGUCUUGUUGGAUGCUUCGUCCUGCUCAUUUCUUGAGGAUAUCUUAGCAUGGACAUGUGUUGUUUGAUGUCGUACUUUUGGAAGAACUUCGCCAAAUCUUUUCCCACAAAUUACGGGUCGUUGUCGGUGACGAUUGACUGAGGGAUGCAACUCGGCAAAUGAUGUUCCUCCAUAUGAAACGCUAUAUGUCCAUCUGAGUUAUGGUCCUCAUGGGUUCUGCUUCUACCCAUUUGGUGAAGUAGUCGGUUGCCACAAUCAUUAUGCAUCUGCCCCCAGUAGCAGGCGGCAUAGGCCCUACCAGGUCAAUCGCUCACUGCAUGAAUGGCCAAGGACUCGUCUAUGGGUGUAGUUCGCUGGCAGGCAGUGCUGGUACCGGUUUGUAGCAUUGGCAGCGGUCGCACUUUUAUACUAACUCCUUAGCAUCUUGGUGCAAGGUAGGCCAGUAGUAGCCUGCGUUAAGAGCCUUCUGUGCUAAAGAUCGGCCUCCAAAGUGAUUCCCACAAACGCCUUCAUGGAUUAAACUUAGAACCUUCAAGUCAUCGAGAGGUGUUAGGCAACGGAGAUGCGGUCCGGUCUAAGAUCUUCGAACAAGAAUGCCAUUCCACGUAUAGUAGCGUGCCGCCUUGAUUUGGAGCUUUCUUGACUCUAAUCUUUCGGUAGGGAGUGUGCCGCUGACCAAGUAGUCUAUAAUAGAACUUUGCCAGUUGGGAGUUACACUAACCUGUGACACUUCGGAUGUCGGCUCCAUCUCUAUGCUUGGCUUGUCUAGAUAUUCCACCAGAAUGGAGCAUUUAAAUUGGUGGUCGAGGGCGGAGCCUAAAUCGGCUAGCGUAUCUGCAUGGGCAUUGUCUGCCCGCGGAACUUGAGUGAGAGUGUAUAUCUAAAAUGUCUCAAGCUGUUGGCGUACUUUCUCUAGGUAUUGUGCCAUCCUUGGGUGUUUUGCCGUGUAUUCCCCAAUAGCCUGGCUAGUGAUUAGUUGGGAAUCAGAAUGAAUUGCGAGCUUCCUUACCGCCAAGUCUUUUGCCAUUCGAAGGCCUGCUAGUAAGGCCUCGUACUCUACUUCAUUAUUGGAUGCUUUGAAGCAUAGAGUGAUCAUAUGCUCGAGCAUUGAGCCGUCUGGGGUAACAAGAACCAUGCCUGCUCCUGAACCUUUGUUGUUAGAUGCGCCGUCAACGUGCAAAUGCCAGAAAUCUUCACUUGGGGGUGUAAGCAUGGCUAAGGUGUGUUCGGCUUCUAGAGUAUUACUAGGCUGCUCUAUUGCAUUGCCUAGGCUAGGUGUGAAUUCUGCUAUGAAAUCUGCUUAGGCUUGGCCUUUAUCGCUGUGCGAGGUCGAAAAACUAAAUCAUAUUGGCCAAGUUCCAAUACCCAUUUCAUCACUCGUUAAGAUGUGUCUGGACCAUGUAAGAUUGAUCGUAAAGGAUACUGAGUCAUGACGAUGACUGUAUGAGCUUGAAAGUAUGGUCUGAGCUUCCGAGCCGCAACAACUAACGCCAAAAUUAAUUUUUUGAUCUUCGGAUAUCUUGUUUCCGCAUCGAGAAGAGCUUUAGAAGUGUAGAAUACCGGCAAUUAGGCCUCCAGCUCUUCUCACAUGAGGGCAGAGCUCACUGCUACUUCGGAGCCUGCCAAGUAAAUGUAUAAAUCCUCCGCCGCUUCCGGCUUGGAUAGUAAGGAAGGUGAUGAGAGAUACUUCUUCAAGUCUUGGAAAGCUUUUUUGCACUCUUCAUCCCAUUUGUCUCUUUGUGCCCUCUUGAUAGAUUUGAAAAAAGGCUUACAUCGAUCUGUGGAUCGUGAGAAGAAAUAGUUGAAGGCAGCUGCUCGUCCGGUCAAGCUUUGGAUCUCUUUCAAGGUAGUUGGAUAUUUCAUCUCUAGGAUUGCUCGAAUUUGCUUGGGAUGUGCAAUUCCUCGUUAGGUUACUAAGUACCCUAGGAAUUGGCUUGAAUAUAUUCCAAAUGUGCAUUUGGUAGGGUUGACUUUCAUCUUGUAUUUCCUAAAGAUAUUGAAAGUUUCUGCCAAAUUGCAAAUGUGAUAUGAUUGCUGCUUGCCCUUUACCAUGAUAUCGUCGACAUAGACCUCCAUGGUUACCCAAAUUUGCUUCUUGAACAUCAUAUUUACUAGUCUUUGGUAAGUGGCUCCCUCGUUCUUGAGGCCAAAGGGCAUGACCUUGUAAUAGUAGGUGCCCCGCUCUAGGAUGCGGUUUUCUCCUUGUCGGGCUCGUGCAUGGCUAUUUGGUUGUAGCCAGAGUAUACGUCUAAGAAGCUGAGCAACUGGUUCCCAGAAGUUGAAUCUACUAAUAGAUCGAUCUGGGGGACUGGAUAAGGGUCUUUUGGACAUGCUUUGUUGAGGUCGGUGUAGUCUAUGCAAACUCUCCAUUUGCCCUCCUUUUUCUUCAUGACUAGUACGACAUUAGCAAGCCAUGCCGAGUGUGCUACCUCUUUUAUGAAUCCGGCCUCCAAUAGCUUGUCAAUUUCUGCCUCAAUGAUCGCUACUCGUUCGGGUGCGAAAUGUCUUCUCUUUUGGAUUACCGAUUUGGCGGUAAGGUCGACAUGCAGCUUAUGGCAGGCCACAUUGGGGUCAAUGCGGGGCAUGUCAGAUGGUGACCAUAUGAAGACGUCUCGGUUUUCUCUAAGGAAAGUUGUGAGUUCUUCCUUUUCGUCUGGGCUUAGUCGUGAGCCAAUUUUAGCCAUCUUUUUCAGCUGCUGGGGAUCAAGAAUGAUGUCUUCGGCGUCCUUUUCGGGAUUCCAUCCUAUCUCGUCUGCUUGGGCUCUAUCUUCUUGAUCCACUUGCUGUAAUUGCUAUUUGGUAGCCUCUUUGUCCUUUUGGACUUCGGUAGCCUCUAUGGGGGUAAAGAUCUUCUUCUUUGAUUCUUUCAACAUUUGCACAGUGCAUCGUCGAGAUGAAACCUGGUCAGACUUAAUCUCUCCGACUCCUCCUCCCUAGAUGCGGAAUCGAAUUUUUUGAUACUUGACGGAAGUGACGGCAUCCAGCUUGAUCAACCAAGGUCUCCCAACAAUCCCAUUGUAGGAAGAUGGAUCACUUACGAUCGUGAACGUUUGCUUUGAGACAACUGGCGGUGUUUUCAUGUUAAGUGUAAUGUGGCUGAUGGCAGUUGAGGUGUGUCCAUUGAAUCCGGUAAAUACCUCUGCUUGGCGUAUGAUUGUGCUUUCCAGGCCCAUUUCUGAAUGACUGAGAGUUGAAGCAAGAUGACUGCACUUCCAUUGUCAACCAUCAUCCUGUCAACUAUAGUAUGGGCUAGUUGGACAUAUACUACUAAUGCAUCGUCGUGUGGGAAAUCGACACCUUCUGCUUCCUGCUCAGUGAAGCCAAUAAUGGGUCCAGGUUGGGUAUCGACUGCUUGAACUUGUGAUAUUAGUAAAGCCUCCUGGGUCUUCCUCUUUUUGGAGUUAUUAAUGGCCCCCAAGUGCUCAGAUUCGACGAAAAUUCCAUUGAUUUGAAUCAUCUUGGUUGGCGGCUCCUCAUCACCGUCUGUAUUCCUUCUUGGCUGCGCAGCUGGCUUGUCCAAGUAUCUAUCGACUUUGCCUUCUUUCAUGACCUUCUCUAGGUAGUUCUUCCAAAUGUAGCAGUCGUUGGUUGUGUGACCAGGACCUCGGUGGAAUACGCAAUACUUAGUGUGGUCUAACUUGGAAGUAUCUCAUUUUGAUUGUUCGGCAACUUGAACCAUGGUUCGUUCUUGAUGUCAUGAAGGAUUUGAUGAAUCAGAAUUGAGAACUUAGAAUAGCUCUUGGUUAUCGGGCCUUCUUUGGUCAUAGGUCGGUCCAUGCGCUUAACCUCAGGCAUGCCCUUGUUGGGCUGUUUUCCAUCCUUCUUCCUUUGAGCAGCUGUCGACUCUUUUCGAGGCUGUUCGGGCACCUUUUCUACUUGUCGAGCCUCGUCCCAAAGUGCAUGCUUCUCUAUCAGAGCAAAGGAAUCUGCUAGAGUUAGGUCUUCUUUCAUGAUCAUUUCUCCGAACAAUGGGUGGUCUGCUGAGAGUCCUUUUUGGAAGGCUGCACUUGUUAUCGAGUUAUCGCAUCCGAUGAUCUUUGCCUUCUCUGCUUUGAAUCUCUUCACAUAAUCGCAAAGUGACUCAUUUGGGUUUUUCUUUACAUUGAACAAGUGAUCGGACUUUUUCUUGAUUGAACGAUAAGAUGAGUAUUCUUUGGUGAAAACCAAAGAAAGAUCAUCAAAAUUCUGGAUGGAUCGUGCUGACAAGGUAUGAAACCAAUCUUGUGCCUCGCCUUGUAAAGUGAAUAUUUUGCACAUAAGGACGUCAUUGUUCCGAUAAAGGACCAUCGCACUUAUGUAGUGCUUCAAGUGUCUUUCUGGAUCCUCAUCUCCUUUGAAAGAUGUGAAGUGCGGCAUGCUAAACUUGUGUGGAGGCUUUGUCUGCCCGAUCUCAUCCGUGAAAGGUGACUUGCUUAUGUUAGUCAUAUCCCGCCUUAGUGUUUCAUCAGCCAUUUCGUUGCGUCGAAAAUCAAGCAUCUGUUCAUUGAAAAGUCUUUCUACCUCAUCUUGGAUUUGCCAUUGUUGGAGGAGUGGAGUUAUCGGCUGCCCCUGGUCUUGACCCGCUGGUCUAGGUUACUAUUCUACACGCUCGGCUCAUCUAUGUCGUGGCUGUGGUGUAUGAGAUAAGUUCCUAGCAGGCAAGGGAUUUCUUUCCAGGCUGCCGGUUGAACUUAAGCCGGAUUGAAUGACUGCUUCAUUUCGUUCGUCAGGCUGCCUGCUCUGAUGUGAUGUAGAUGAUGCUCCUUGAGGGCCUAACCGCGAAUGAACGCUUUGCCUAGAAGGUUGCUCAUGUUGAUUAUCGAAGCGUGGCCUCAACCAUGAACGAAUAUUUACCCACAGGCCUAAUCAAGAGUGCACGCUCAUCCACGCGUUAAGACGGGAGUAUACGCUAUCUCGGGGGCCCAAUCGAGAAUGUAUGCUACCUAAGUGUUCAUUUUAUGAUUGGUUAAGUAACUGUUUACCGGGACGCUGCUGGAAAGGUUCAUCUACCCUUGUCUUACUUUGAGACUUCUCGUUUGGGGCACGUUGGAUCUCGGUGCGUUGUAAGAGUUGAUUCACCAAGGUCAUCUGUUGUGCAAGGGUGCUCGUCAACUCUAUGACUUGUCCAGAUAAAUGUUGUUCACUAUUCGGAUUGGAAGAGCUCGGAUGGAAUGCACCCUGAACAAUAAAAGGGUGGUAGACUUCGAGCGCGAGAUUUGAGUUGCGGAAUGUCAAAUCUGCAAAGAAAUGUGGCGAAAAUGCCCCCGGCUCGAUGAUUGGUCUGGAUGGUUGAGAUAGUCUCGAGCCGACUUGGGCUGCUUGAGAAGCCAUGAGAGCAGGAGCAGGCUGGAUCACGGGAGCAAGUUGGAUCGCAGGAGCAGGCUGCUCAGUGCAUGGUGCAUGCGAGUGCGAGGCUUGGGCUCGGGCCCGUGCAAGCUUGGAUGGCAUGGCUUGGGCCAUGGUGGUGCCACUCUGUUUACAACCGUAUUUUGCCUCGUGGAUCUCCGCGAUCCCAUUUCUUGAGUAUUGGAAUUUUCACUUGUACGAGUAUGGAAAAUAUUCAAAUGGACUAGAAAAUAGAGAAAAAACAUUUUUAUGCGAGAGUAUUCUAUGAGUAUGGAUUUCAACUCUCAAUGAAAGCACCAAUUUGUGGAUGCAAAUUUCUUCAUCCUUCUUCUUGGACAAAAUUGCACCUACAAAACAAUUAACACCUUAGAGCAAGGCCAAGAGCCUCACGCGCCCAUGAUGAAUGGGGGGCUUUGGCCGAAGAAACUCCAAUGCCAAAGUUAGAAUUUAGAGAGAAAAAAGUGUUUAGAGAGUUUGUGGAAUUUUGCAAGAGUGUUGGAAUGAUGUUUUGGUGAAAAUGAGAGCCUAUUUAUAGGGAUAGGCCAGUCCCCUUUGGAGAAUGAGUGGGCGGCCAUUAGGUAGGGUUUUUUAGGUUUAAUUUUGGUUUAAUUAGUAUUAUGAUUAAUUGGCUAAUUAAUCAUAAGGUGAAUGUUUUGGUGGUUAUGAAAUUAAUUGGCUAGCUAAUUAAUGUAAUAAAAAGGGAGAAAUGAUAAAAAAUAAAAAAAUAAAAAAGGUAGAAAGUAUGCUAGACUCCUUUUUGAAUGGGGAUGGCCGGCCUUUGAGUUGUUUUUGGGGUUGAAUGAGUGAUUUAAUUGACAAUUAGGGGAUUGAUUAGGCAAUUAAUCCCUUAAUUAGUCAAUUAUUAUGUUUUUAAAGGAAGAUUUUAGGAAAUAUGAAAGGAAUAUAUUAUUUAGCUAAAUAAUGAAAUGGAAUAAAUUAGGUUUUGGGAAUUACCUUAUAGAAAGGAUUUAAUGAAAUAGGCUUUAAAUUGUUAUCUAUUUUGGGCACUUCUAACUUGGUUGAAAGAGGGUUGCUCGCUGCUCGCACGUAAGAACCUCAUUGUACCGCAAGGGUAUUUUUGUCCUUUUUGUUCAAAAAUCCACAUGUCGCCUUGUGAUUAUUUUUGGCUCCACAGGAGACAUAGAACUAAAGAUGACAUUAGGAAAUGUCUUAAUUUUGAAGGAUGUGCGACAUGUACCUUAUAUUAGAAGAAAUUUAAUUAGUGGAUCAUGUUUAUUAAAGCAAGGUUAUAAAGUUGUAAUGGAAUCAAAUAAGGUUGUAAUAACCAAGAAUAAUGUAUUUAUUGGAAAAGGUUUUAUUAGUGAAGGAUUAUUUAAGUUAAGUGUUUCUUCAGAGUUCAAUACUCUUCUAAAAGUUCUUAAGGUUGAAUCUAGUAAUGUUUGGCAUGGACAGUUGGGACAUGUAAACUUGUUCAAAAUUAAGAAAAUGAUGGAUUUGGACCUAGUCCCAAAGUCAAACAUGAAUCUUAAGCGUAAGUGUGAAAUUUGUGUACAAGCAAAACAAACCAAGAAACCGUUUAAGUCUGUGGAAAGGAAUACCCAAAUUUUAGAGUUUAUACAUAGUGAUGUUUGUGACUCAAAUAGAUUACCUACUAGAGUUGUUGGUAAUAAGUAUUUUGUCACAUUUAUAGAUGAUUGUUCGAAGUAUUAUUAUAUUUAUUUGAUAAAGACCAAGGAUGAAGUAUUUGGUAAAUUCAAGAUUUACAAGACAGAAGUGGAAAAUCAAUUAGAGAAAAGGAUAAAGAGACUUAGGUCUGAUAGAGGUGGUGAGUACACUCUUACCGAUCUUUAGUAUUUUUUGUGAAGAUCAUGGUAUUAUACAUGAAGUAACAACACCCUAUUCUCCACAAUCAAAUGGAGUUGCAGAAAGGAAGAAUAGGACCUUAUUGGACAUGGUGAAUGCAAUGCUUUUGAGUUCUAGAUUACCGGAAAAUUUGUGGGGGGGAAGCAAUUUUGACUGCAUGUUUUAUAAUAAAUAGAGUAAUAAUUAAAGACAACACUACUACUCCAUAUGAAAUGUGGAAAAAGAGAACACCAAAUCUCCAAGUCGAAAGUGUGGGGGUGUUUGGCUAAAGUUGAAAUCCCAUAACCUAAGAGAAAGAAGAUAGGACCUAAAACUGUGGAUAUUAUUUUCUUAGGUUAUGCUCAUAAUAGUAGUGCCAAUAGAUUUCUAGUCAUCAAUUCUGAAAUAAAUGAAAUUUAGAAUAACACUAUAUUGGAGUCUAGGGAUGCAACAUAUUUUGAAGACAUAUUUCCUUUCAAGACUAUAAUGCAAAAGCAAGUGAUAGACAGAUCAUGCACUAGUACUGACAAAGCCUCCACAAGUAUUAGCCAUCAAGUUACUAAUGAAGAAGAACCUCUAGCAUAACUUAGAAUGAGUAAGAGACCUUGAGUGGAGAAGAACUUUGGUGAUGAUUUUUAUACUUUUUUAAUUGAAGAUGAUCCAACAACAUAUGAGGAAGCCAUGAUUUAUGUCGAUGCUCCAUUUUGGAAAGAAGCUAUAAACAAUGAAGUUGAGACUAUUUACAAAACAACACUUGGGAGUUAACGGAUUUACCACCCAGUACUACACCAAUUGGUUGUAAGUGGGUAUUUAGGAAGAAACUGAAGCCUGAUGGAAGUAUAGACAAGUACAAAGCUAGGCUAGUAGCCAAGGGAUUCAAUCAAAAGAAAGGAAUUGAUUACUUUGACACUUACUCUCCUGUGUUUAGGAUUACCACAAUUAGGAUCCUUAUAGCGUUAUCUUCUAUACACAAUUUAGUAGUUCAUCAAAUGGAUGUGAAAACAACAUUUUUGAAUGGAGACUUAGAUGAAUAAAUUUACAUGGAACAACCCGAAGGAUUUAUAGUGAAAGGCCAAGAACAUAAAGUGUGUAAGUUGGUUAAAUCGUUAUAUGGACUCAAGCAAGCUCCUAAGCAAUGGCAUGAGAAAUUUGAUAAAGUCAUUUCAGAAUAUGAUUAUGAAAUUAAUGAGCAUGAAAAGUGUGUCUAUUAUAAGGAAUGCAAUGGACAGUGUGUAAUUUUAUGUCUUUACGUUGAUGACAUAUUAUUAUUUGGAACAAGUUUGGAAAUUGUGAAAGAUGUUAAGUCUUAUCUAUCAAAGAGAUUUGAUAUGAAAGAUCUAGGAUAAGCCAAUAUUAUUUUGGGAAUGAAAGUAGAAAGAACAACAGCAGGUUUUAUUAUAAACCAAGCUAGUUCAAUUGAGAAAAUGCUUAAGAAGUUCAAUUUUUUCAAUUGCAAUCCUAUCUCGACACCAUAUGAACCAAGUGUGUGCUUACUUCAAAAUAGUGGUGAACCCGUGUGUCAACUCCAGUAUUCUCAAAUGAUUGGGUCCUUGAUGUAUACAGCAAAUAAAACUAGACCUAAUAUAGCUUAUGCGGUUGGAAGGCUAAGUAGAUACACUCAUAAUCCAAGUAAAGAACACUAGAAUGCUUUAAGGCGAGUAUUUAAUUAUCUAAGAGGAACUAUAGAUUAUUAUAUACACUAUAAAGGAUUUCCUUAUGUAGUAGUAGGGUAUAGUGAUGCAAAUUGGAUCACUGAUAGCUCCGAAGUGAAAUCUACUUCAGGAUAUGUAUUUUUAUUGGGAGGAGCAGCUAUAUCUUGGGGAUCUAAGAAACAAACAAUAAUUUCUAGAAGUACAAUGGAAUCUGAACUCAUAGCUCUUGAUACUGAAUGUAUAGAGGCUGAAUGGAUUAAGAAUUUUUUGCUUGAUAUCCCAUUGGUGAGCAAGCCUAUACAUGCCAUCUCCAUACAUUGUGAUAAUAAGGCCGUGAUAGAUUUAGUGAGGCAAACACAUACAAAUAAGAAAUUAAAUAGACACAUUAAUGUUAGAUACAAAUCCGUGAUUAAAUAAAGAAGUUGUUUCUUUGGACUAUGUGAAGUCAGAAAAGAACAUUGCUGAUCAAUUGACCAAAGGUCUAUCUAGGAAUGGAGUCCUAGAUUUGUCGAGGGGGAUGGGCUUAAACCCAUAAGGAAGUCACCUAGGGAAGAAACCCUACCUUUGUGAUUGGAGAUCCUAUGAAGAAGGUUCAACGGGUAGAAACAAUCCAUAUUGCGUGACUUAUAUUCCAGCACUCUAAAAUAGGAGAUUUGAAAUAAAAUCUCCUCCUCAUCCCUAUGACAUUUAUGCUGAUGAUAAGUGGUGUUAAGGAAAGACAUUGUCUUGAAUGAGUUCCAAGGCGGGCAAUCUCUCGCAAAGUACAAGUCACAUGUACUCUUGGACGACUCACCUAAGUGAGAGUAGUCGUAAGGCCGCGACUGUGAGAAUUGGGUUGUUCUCUAAAAACACUCAUGAGAAUCAAGAUUAAGUGCAUGGCCAUAAAUAGUGUUAACCUGCACCAAGUUUUUGAUCAAUAAUUUGUGUGUCAUAUGUUGUAAUCUAAAUUAGAGGAAUCUAGUUCAAGUCUUAGUUCACUAUGAUUCAUUCAGAUGAAAACUAGAAUACAAAGUGUAGGUUCAAGUCCAAAAGACACCUACACCCAUUGCAUGGUAUACAAAUUGCCCAAACUUUCGUUUCUUCAAUUGUGUCUUUUUUAUUCCUCAUAGAGUUUUGAAUCUUGUGGGGGAUUGUUGGUUUUUAAAUAUUUUAAUAAUAUUUUAUUUUAAAGAUUCAAAACGUAUUAUUAUUUUAUUUUAUUUAUUUAUAAUAUUUACGAGUUGUGUUUUAUUUGAAGAGUCAUAUUCCGUUUAAAAGGGUAUGAGAAGUUCUUUAAAUAAGAAACUUUAGACAGAAAACAUAAUACGCUAAAGCCUUCUGUCUCCCUCAAUUCUUACAUCUCUCUCAAUCUAUUUACAUUCCUACUUCAUAAUUCUUGGGCAAUUGAUCACUGCUUAGCAAUCCUGUCUUCCGUUGGCGUGCAUAUCGGAUCAGACAUCCUGUGAGGCUUUGGGUUGUAUCUUGGAGUUGUAAACACCGCCAUAACCUGCAUGUAGGGAGGCGUCUAUGGCUUUAGGGCAGCGACAUCGCGCCUCUCUUUGGUUCACAGGCCAUAUAUUCUUAUUCCUUUUUUUUUUAAUUUAAAUUUCUUAAAUCUAAUGAUGAUUAUACAUUUGAUUUGUUAUAUUUGAUCAUAUAAAUAAUUGAUAUAUUUUUGCAAUAUAUUUCACGUGUUACCUAAAAACUAUUUGCAGGUAAAUCUGACACCUCAAAUAGGCAAAGAAGUCACCAUUCUUUCUCUAUCCUCGAAUAUUCAUAAGCUCCCUCUCCCCGCACCACUCCAUAUACCACAAGAACUUAAAAAAUCAUUUUUAACCCACUAACUCAACGGGCUCGCCACAACUAUCAAAGAAAAAUUGAGGCUGGGACACGCUAAUCACGUCAUAUGCAACGCAUUUCUCAUAUUGUCUGUAUUGAUUCUCUCAACUUCACACGGUUGUCCUAGUAGGGCAACUCCACGGACUUAUCUUUCGUUAUUAGUAAGUUACAAGUUUUAGUUUUAUUUCGUUUUGUUUUUUAUUUAGACAUUUUUUCUCUAUUUUUCCCUUCUUGUUUAUCUUGUAAGUGUUCCUAAGAAAAGGAAGUUGUUCAUUUUUCGGGUUCAUAAAAGAUGUAAAAGAUGUAGAAAUCAUUUGAUACGUGAAACACGAAAUUGAUUAAGAAGUGUAUGAAAUUAAGCUUAAAUCAGCACACAACUAACUGAGAACAGUUGUUAUUAGUACCAAAAAAAUAGGCUUAAGCAUCCAACAGAACGGGGCAGCAUUCACCAAAGGUUCUCAAACUGUGCAGCAAUUGGAACUUUAGUUGCACUUUCUAACAACAAUCAGAACCAAACAAACAUAAACACCUUACAUCAUUUCAGCAGUUCUUACAGGAAAGGCGCAGACCCGAUCACAUACACGAACAUUUAAGAUGGUCUUCCUCCAUCUCUUUGCGGUGUAUCUGCGAACUUCCAAGAGCAGGGGAUGAAAAUUUCAGGUACAUUAUUCCCCGCCGCUGCAUCCACUGGUAUCAUAUCUGAAAUCUCUUUUACAUCUUCUUUUGUGAGCCUCACUUUAAAGGAUCCAAUAUUAUCAUCAAGAUUUUUCACCUUAG